GACGAACGCUGGCGGUGUGCUUCACACAUGCAAGUCGAACGAGGUAGCAAUACCUAGUGGCGGACGGGUGAGUAACGCGUGGGAAUCUGCCUUUAGAUGGGGGAUAACGGGCCGAAAGGUCCGCUAAUACCGCAUAUGCCGCAAGGUGAAAGGAGUAAUCCGUCUAAAGAUGAGCCCGCGUCCGAUUAGCGAGUUGGUAGAGUAAGAGCCUACCAAGGCGACGAUCGGUAGCUGGUCUGAGAGGAUGAUCAGCCACAAUGGGACUGAGACACGGCCCAUACUCCUACGGGAGGCAGCAGUGGGGAAUUUUACGCAAUGGGGGAAACCCUGACGUAGCGACACCGCGUGAGCGAAGAAGCCCUUUGGGGUGUAAAGCUCUGUCAGCUGGAACGAAAACAAUGACGGUACCAGCAGAGGAAGCAUCGGCUAACUACGUGCCAGCAGCCGCAGUAA
rnacentral:rRNA from 1 species